rnacentral:rRNA from 1 species
UACAGAGGGUGCGAGCGUUAAUCGGAAUUACUGGGCGUAAAGCGCGCGUAGGCGGCUUUGCAAGUCGGGUGUGAAAUCCCCAGGCUUAACCUGGGAACUGCAUUCGAGACUGCAUUGCUAGAGUAUGGGAGAGGGAAGUGGAAUUUCCGGUGUAGCGGUGAAAUGUGUAGAGAUCGGGAGGAACACCGGUGGCGAAGGCGGGUCUCUGGGCAUUUCCUGACGCUGAGGCGCGAAAGCGUGGGGAGCAAACGGG